rnacentral:misc_RNA from 1 species
AAUUUUGAACCACCCCCUGCAGUUAGUCUAGCAGAUGCUCCACAGUCCAUCAAAUCAAUUCAUUGUUGAUUCUUCCUGAACUCAGUAAGAACUGGGUAUAUGUUCUCAAAGGCAGUGUAUGUCUCAUCUCUAACCUUGGCUCCUGUGAUGACAAUUUUCCCAGAAACAAAAAUAAGAAGCACUAUUUUUGGUUGUUUCAUGCGAUAUAUUAAUCCAGGAAAUAGUUCUGGCUCGUAACUUGAGAAAGCACCGUGGGCAUAAGCAAGGCCUUCAAGUCGAAUAGGAAAUUUAACAUCACAAGAACCAACUAUAUUCUGGAUCUUAAAAUCCUUAAACUUGGCUGGAAAACCAAGCUUUUGAAUGAUUCUAGCAUAUUUCCGGGCUGCCAACUUUGACUGUUGUUCACUUUUGGCUCCAGUACAAACCAUUUUCCCAGAAGCGAAAAUCAAUGCUGUAGUUUUUGGUUCUCUAAUUCUCAUGAUCACUGCAGCAAAACGCUUCGGAUUGUACUCUGCAUUUCGAGCUUGAAGUGCAAUAGCUUUUAGGUCCAACUUGCAGUCCAAAUUAACCGUUGAGACAAUAUUCUGGAGCGUAGGGACUAUUCCAGAAGGGUGCUUGGUAAGAUCCACUGGCUGGCUCCCCUCUAAUCCCUGAUCUGCCAUUCCUCUUUUGACCUAGUCCCUUCCGUACACAAAACUCUACAAAGUGAAAAAAUCUAAAACUAGGGUUUGCUGAAAUUCGAGGAUUUUGUUUGUUGUUGUUGUAGCGGGUAAAGAAUUUGAAAGAAGGAUUCUUUUAUAUGAAAGAUCUUUGUAGAGCGAAAGGAAGGAUGAAUAUAUAUAGAGAGAGGGAGGGUAAAGGGAAGGAAGAGUUGUG